rfam:Anas platyrhynchos breed Pekin duck contig82702, whole genome shotgun sequence.
CCAAAGGCUCUUCAGGGAGCCACUCCACAAAUAAAUAAAUAAAUUA